UAUUAUCUUCAUUUUCUAGUCUGAUAUACUUACAUCUUUAUAUACUGUUAAAUGUAGGAGAGCCAGAGUGUCUGUUGGAUUUACCUCUUUAGGAGAUUCUGCUUUGAUGAACUGCUCAUAAAUCUUCUUGGCUCUUGAAGACAUUCUGAAUGAAGACUUGAUCUUCUUGUAGUCCUCACAGGUGAGCCAGAACUCAAUAUU